AUUGAACGCUGGCGGCAUGCUUUACACAUGCAAGUCGAACGGUAACAGGCCGCAAGGUGCUGACGAGUGGCGAACGGGUGAGUAAUGCAUCGGAACGUGCCCAGCCGUGGGGGAUAACGCAGCGAAAGCUGCGCUAAUCCCGCAUACGAUCUAUGGAUGAAAGCGAGGGACCGGAAGGCAUCGCGCCAUUGGAUCGGCCGAUGUCAGAUGAGGUAGUUGGUGGGGUAAAGGCUCACCAAGCCAACGAUCUGUAGCUGGUCUGAGUGGACGACCAGCCACACUGGGACUGAGACACAGCCCAGACUCCUACGGGAGGCAGCAGUGGGGAAUUUUGGACAAUGGGCGCAAGCCUGAUCCAGCAAUGCCGCGUGCAGGAAGAAGGCCUUCGGGUUGUAAACUGCUUUUGUACGGAACGAAACGGUCCUGGUUAAUACCUGGGGCUAAUGACGGUACCGUAAGAAUAAGCACCGGCUAACUACGUGCCAGCCGCCGCGGUAAAAC
rnacentral:rRNA from 1 species